UGGGGAAUUUUGCACAAUGGGGGAAACCCUGAUGCAGCGACGCCGCGUGAUUUAGAAGGCCUUCGGGUUGUAACAAUCUUUUUUAUGGGAUGAAAAUGACAGUACCAUAAGAAUAAGGUCCGGCUAAAUACGUGCCAGCAGCCGCGGUAAUACGUAUGGACCGAGCGUUGUCCGGAAUCAUUGGGCGUAAAGGGUACGUAGGCGGCCCAGUAAGUUAGAAGUGAAAUAAUAUAGCUCAACUAUAUAAAGCUUUUAAAACUGCUAGGCUUGAGAGAUGGAAGGGAAAGUGGAAUUCCUAGUGUAGCGGUGAAAUGCGCAGAUAGUAGGAGAAUACCGGUGGCGAAGGCGACUUUCUGGUCAUCAUCUGACGCUGAGGUACGAAAGCGUGGGUAGCAAACAGG
rnacentral:rRNA from 1 species